rnacentral:misc_RNA from 2 species
UCGAAUCUAACAUGGAAGAGGUAGAGAGACUGUGCUGGCCGAUCGCUGAUCGGCAUGUGCACGUCCCCUCACCUUUUUCUGUCUACAUACACCUGUGCACCUAUUGUAGAUCCCCUCGAAAGAGAGGGAACUAUGUUUUCAUCACAUCACACACAAAGAAUGUCUAGAAUGUAAACGUGAUCAUAUAUA